UAGGGAAUCGUCCGCAAUGGACGCAAGUCUGACGGAGCAACGCCGCGUGAGUGAAGAAGGAUUUCGGUUCGUAAAACUCUGUUGUUAGAGAAGAACAGCGCAUAGAGUAACUGUUAUGCGUGUGACGGUAUCUAACCAGAAAGCCACGGCUAACUACGUGCCAGCAGCCGCGGUAAUACGUAGGUGGCAAGCGUUGUCCGGAUUUAUUGGGCGUAAAGCGAGCGCAGGCGGUCAAUUAAGUCUGAUGUGAAAGCCCCCGGCUCAACCGGGGAGGGUCAUUGGAAACUGGUUGACUUGAGUGCAGAAGAGGAGAGUGGAAUUACAUGUGUAGCGGUGAAAUGCGUAGAUAUAUGGAGGAACACCAGUGGCGAAGGCGACUCUCUGGUCUGUAACUGACGCUGAGGCUCGAAAGCGUGGGUAGCAAACAGG
rnacentral:rRNA from 1 species